GAGGGUCGGCCCCUCGAAGUCGGCGUCCAGGCGCAGACUUCAAACCACCGCAAGAGCAGAAAAGGUACCGGGAGUCUUUUCUGG
rfam:Deltaproteobacteria bacterium RIFCSPLOWO2_12_FTLL_57_22 rifcsplowo2_12_scaffold_32910, whole genome shotgun sequence.